rnacentral:lncRNA from 1 species
AUAUUUUUAAACCAAACUUCUAAGCACAUUUUCUCAAACUCGUGUUAUUCUGCGAUUAAUGGUAAACGAUUGAUUAGUGGUCAAUUUAGGGAGAGCUGACCCUGACCCCAUAAGCCGUGGCCGCCUUGGCUUCUUGCUUCCCCUGGCUUUGAGGCUUCAACUUCACUUACCAUGCACGUAAAGGCAAAAAAUACUGUCCCUGUAUUUGGAGGCAAAAAGCAACCCACUCGACUUGCUUCCACGCCCAACCAGUCAACUCUAUAUUUCAUUUUCUUAGCUACCAAACAGCUGUUUCCAGGGGGCAUGUUAAUUUCUGCGAUAUGCUCAUCCCCACUCAGUCCUUUUUUACUGUCAAUGAGCAGUAACAUAAAAAAGGGAGACCCGAGAAACUACAUGAAAAAAAAGGAAGCAAAGGAGUUAAAUUUUUGGCAGUCAAAUCGAGGUACAAAGUCUGAGAUGGCGUGUCAAGAGAAGAUGAUGUAAUAGAAGACCGUUCAAACAUCUGUUCAACUCAGUCACGUGUAAUCAAAAGACAGAUCAUGUCUGGGUUUUUUUACCUCAAAACGCUUAGAUUCCUUUCAGAUACGACACUCCAUCGUAUGCAUGGAAGACUAUGCCAAUUCCCCAAACUUUCUUCACUUUUAAUAUCCACAAUCUAAAUAAAAAUCAUUUCAAAUCAAAUGUAACACAAAAAAGAAAAACCAAAUGUUUUGUCCCAAAAAAAACAAUUCAAAGCCUUGUUGUUGCUUGUGGGUUCCUUGCCAUACUUUUUGCAUGUGCCUCGGACCAACCCACGACUCAAAAAUCAAUGUCUAUUGACCAAAAUCUGACCCUUGUACAACCAUAUACUAUAUGGGUCUCCCAGUUAUUAUUUGUUUGCAGAAUUAUGGGUCCAGUUUUUUAAUUGUUGGUCAAAAGAACCGUACUUGAUGUUUUUAUAAAGGAAAAAUAGUAAUAAUAACACAAUAUAAACAAGCAAAAAUGGCUUGAAUCACACUCAACCAUAUGUAUCGCAAAAGCCCCCAUCACGUGCCUACGCAUGCACACUUCACCAUUAAUUCUUUUUUUUUAACAGCAGUUACGAGGGACCCUAAUGAAUGGCAAAAGCGUUAAGCAACAUCCUCUCCUUCAAACUCUCUAAUUUAAGUCAGUGUUUUCCUUCAAAUGUUUGGUUUAUGUAAGAUAGGAUGAAUGCUUUCAAAUCCCAACGUAAGGAAUGAGAAGGAAUAUGAGAGAUAUGCGUUAGAUUUCAGAAAUGUGAUUGUUAUAAUUCUACGUUAACCACUCCCCAAGGAC